rnacentral:misc_RNA from 1 species
CUUUUUUCAAAUUUAGACUUUUGACCAUGGCGUCAAUGUUGUUCAGCUUCUUCUCUUCUCCUUGCUUUAUAUGUAUAUAUUCUUCCAACCCCACAGCUUAAAGCCUACAUUUUCAUGGAGCCAACACCACCCAACCAACUCUUCCUUGUGGCGGUGCUGCUUUUGUCCGCUGUCAUGUGCGCAUUCUCAGCCAAACAAUGCCCCAACUGUGGCCUUACCUCAGUUCCCUACCCACUCAGCACACACCCCACCUGCGGAGACCAAUCAUACAAGAUACGGUGCAACGCAGGUGUACUCAUUUUCGACACGCUUAACAAUUCCUAUCCGAUAUUUUCCAUCAAUCCGUCGAUUCAACGAUUGGUAAUACAACCUGCAAAUCUGUUAUCAAAUACCUGCAUUUCAUCUGAUUUUAUCCACCAAGGCAUCCAGUUGAGCUCUUCCCUACCGUUCAACAUUACCGGCGAGAACACUGUCAUGCUUUUUAACUGCUCCGAGUCGAUACUUGAUCAACCGUUGAAUUGUUCGCCGAGUAGCUUGUGCCACUUAUACGUUGAGGGAGAAGAGUACUCUCGGUGCAGAGAUUCAUCGUUGUGUUGUACAUUCAAAGCGGGCGGGUCAGCGUCGGCCUAUAGGAUACGCGUCCUAGAAAACGGGUGUAGGGCUUAUAGAAGUUUCAUUGGUUUGGAUUGGGGUUUGCCAGUGGAUAAGUGGCCAAACCCGGGUGUGGAGAUCCAGUGGGUGCUUCCUCUGGAACCAGUGUGUGAAUCUCAGGUGGAUUGUGAUGCGGACUCCACGUGUGAGCCUAACCGUGCUGAUGGGGUAAAGAGGUGCUAUUGCAAGGUUGGUCUUCAAUGGAAUCCAAUCCAAGGAAUCUAAAUGAAUCUUGGAAUACUAUGCAGCUGGUGGGUGUCAAAGUCCUGGAGGAUGUAGCAGACAAAAGAAGAUUGCACUCAUAGUAGGUACUGGCACAAUGGAAAUUCUCUUUGAAAUAUUACGAAGAUUUCAAUUCACGAGUGACAUAUGUUAAAAGAAGGUAAUCUUGAUCUAACAUCUAACCCAAAUACCCAAUUGAAUUUUGUUUAGGUUUAACUUUCGGCCUUAGUGCAUUGGUCUUGGUGAUCACCAUUGCCAUUCUACUCCAUAAACGCUAUAAACGCAUCAGAGAGGCACAAGAACGUCUUGCCAGACACUGCGAAGAAAUCUUGAGUGUUGAUGGGAGCAAAACAGCAAAGCUUUUUAAAAGUAAAGAGAUAAAGAAAGCAACAGACAAUUUCUCCAAGGAUUGCCUCAUAGGCGCCGGAGGCUACGGUGAAGUCUACAAAGGCUGUCUAGAGGAUGGCACUGUUGUUGCUGUCAAGUGUGCUAAGAUUGGAAACAUCAAAGGUACUGAUCAGCUUCUCAAUGAAGUCCGCAUUCUAUGCCAAGUCAAUCAUAGAAGCCUUGUUCAUUUGCUUGGUUGUUGUGUUGAGCUCGAACAACCUAUCCUAGUUUAUGAGUAUAUUCAAAAUGGGACUCUUCUUGAUCAUUUACAAGGUCUAGGACAUGGUGGGAAAAGCCAACUUUCUUGGAUACAUCGUCUCCGAAUUGCCCAGGAUACUGCAGAAUGUCUCAGUUACCUCCACAACUCUGCUGUUCCUCCAAUAUAUCAUCGAGACAUAAAGUCGAGCAACAUCCUUCUUGAUGACAAAUUGAAUGCUAAGAUUUCAGAUUUUGGAUUAUCAAGGUUAGCUUAUAGCGACUUGAGCCACAUAUCAACUUGUGCCCAAGGAACUAUUGGAUAUCUAGAUCCAGAGUACUUCAAGAAAUUUCAAUUGACUGAUAAGAGUGAUGUUUAUAGCUUUGGA